GAGGGGUAUUUUUGUCAGUAUUUGUUGUUGAAAAGUCAAACCAGACACAAUACGUUUACUUUUAACAAUCUGGAACCCCUGGGGUAAGUGCUGGGGGGCAAAUUUAUGAUACUGCUGCCUGUGGAUCUAUUCUGGGGCAAUUGCACUUUACCGGCACAAAAAAAGAACGGAAAAGCGAACCAUAACCUGCAAAACCUAACUAAUAAUCCUAAAACCUAAUAAUCCUUUUUAUCCUAUACAUUUCCUAAAUAUCGGGGGCUACCGCGCGUUCAUAUCGUAUGCGUUUUUCAACGAUAUAUAUAUAUUGUAUGCGUUUUACCCUAUGCGUUUUAGGAACCGCCGUAAACACAACUGCGUACCGGUAAAGUGCAAUCUAGCCCUAGUCUGUGUGGUAAAUCAAGUGUACUGAAGAUUAUUUUUAAUUUCUUGAACAUCAAUUUUUCACAACAGGUUUACUUCUGCUGCAUUUUUAGGGUUGAAAAGCCACAGGUUGUGAACAAUUGUGUACAUGUAUUAUAUUUCUUAGUUCCUUCCUCACCUGAAUAAUUUGACAGUGUGUGAUGAUGAAUAUGCAUUAUCGUGCAUAUCACAAUGUGUGGACCUGGAGCUCCUGCAGUUUAGACUCAAAAGCACUUAAAAAAUCUUAUCAGAUGAAGAUCAGUACCAUAUAUUAUUGGAUGGUUGUACAAUACCUGUGAUAAACGCUACACAGUGUUUGGCCAUGCUCAGGAGGGAGUGACUGAGUUAUGGGGUGCAGAAGAAGCACAAGCCAUCUUGACAUGAUGAGUCAUCCCCAACAGCGCUUGACGAUGGUUUCCUUCUCGAUGAGGAUGAAUCCAUAACUGAGCACUGAGGAUGAUACUUCUCUCAACACUGCAUUGUAUGAAGACAAAGCAAUGCAGUGUGGUUAGUCAUCGUCAACAACAGAACCAGACUCAGCUGACGUUGGAGACUGUCAAGUUGAGAUCACUGUGCCUAUCAGGGUUGAGUGUUACAUACUGAACGAAGUGAUUCAAAGAAAUUUAUUGUCAAUAUGCACGCUAAAGACCUUGGCAUUCUCUGUUUACAUUCAGAUCAAAGCAAUGGCAAGACAUAUUUAAGAAUGAAAGUAUGUUUUAAUGAAGCAGGACACACUACUGUGUAUGUUCAUGUAAAGGAAGUUGCACAGGAACAUUUUUUGUGGAAACAAAUUUCUAGUGAUUAUCUGUUUGCUCUUAAGCUCACCUGAGCACAAUGUUCUAAUGGUCCGUCAUGCGAUAUGUGUUGUGGGGCGUAAACAUUUACCUAGUAAACAAUCUAGAGGCCACAUUAACUGUCCAUACAUCAUGGAAUUUGGUCAGAACAAUUUUCCCAAUGAUAUCUUGGACAAGUUCAAAAAUUGUUCCGGUGUACUGUCCAUCAUCAUGAAACUUGGUCAGAUGAUUUGUCCCAAUGAUAUCUUGGGCAAGUUCAAAAAUGGUUCCGGUUGGUUCAAAAACAUGGGCACGAGGGGGCGGGGCAUUUUUCCGUAUAAGUCUAUAUACAUAGCUAUCAAAAAAACCUUUUUAACACUCUAGAGGCCACAUUUAUUGUCCGGUCUUCAUGAAACUUGGUCAUACAAUGUGUCACAAUGAUAUCAUGGUUUAAAAACAUGGCCUCCAGGGGGGGCAAAGCUUUUUCCUUACAUGGCUAUGGUAAAAACAUGUUAACACUCUAAGUCACAUGUGAGAAUGAUUUUUCUUCAGCAACAUUAAUACCCUGCCUUAUACGAUAAUGGCUCUUAUGCUUAAAUGUUUGUUGCCUGCAUAACUGCAGAAUAUUAGCUGUUUUCUUCCAAUAUGUUAUUUGUAAUAUCAACAACUUGCUUAAUAUGUGUAAUGUUUGAUAAAUUGCUUAUUUUUUUAAGCCAGGUGUAUUGAUAUUUGUUCAUGAAUUAUGAAGUUUAGAUGAAAUAUCAUUAAACUGUAAAAACUG